rnacentral:rRNA from 1 species
UACAGAGGUCCCGAGCGUUGUUCGGAUUUAUUGGGCGUAAAGGGUGCGUAGGCGGCGGAGUAAGUUGGGUGUGAAAUCCCGGGGCUCAACCUCGGAAUUGCAUUCAAUACUGCUUCGCUCGAGUACUGGAGAGGAGGCUGGAAUUUACGGUGUAGCAGUGAAAUGCGUAGAUAUGCGGAGGAACACCGAUGGCGAGGGCAAUCCCCUGGGCCUGCACUGACGCUCAUGCACGAAAGCGUGGGGAGCAAACAGG